rnacentral:tRNA from 1 species
GGGGCUGUAGCUCAGUGGAUAGAGCGCCGCCGUCCUAAGGCGGGCGUCGCGGGUUCGACUCCCGCCAGCCCCUCAA